rnacentral:rRNA from 1 species
UACGUAGGGUGCAGGCGUUAAUCGGAAUUACUGGGCGUAAAGCGUGUGCAGGCGGUUUCUUAAGUCAGAUGUGAAAGCCCCGGGCUUAACCUGGGAACUGCGUUUGAAACUGGGAGACUUGAGUGUGGCAGAGGAAGGUGGAAUUCCACGUGUAGCGGUGAAAUGCGUAGAGAUGUGGAGGAACACCGAUGGCGAAGGCAGCCUUCUGGGCCAACACUGACGCUCAUGCACGAAAGCGUGGGGAGCAAACAGG